CAGAGACAACACCUCUUAAUGGCACAAGCAAUGGGACCUUGACCCUGCUCGGAUCCGAAACCUGUGAAAGAGGAU